AUUGAACGCUGGCGGUAGGCCUAACACAUGCAAGUCGAACGGCAGCACAGUAAGAGCUUGCUCUUACGGGUGGCGAGUGGCGGACGGGUGAUGAAUACAUCGGAAUCUACUUUUUCGUGGGGGCUAACGUAGGGACACUUACGCUAAUACCGCAUACGACCUACGGGUGAAAGCAGGGGAUCUUCGGACCUUGCGCGAUUGAAUGAGCCGAUGUCGGAUUAGCUAGUUGGCGGGGUAAAGGCCCACCAAGGCGACGAUCCGUAGCUGGUCUGAGAGGAUGAUCAGCCACACUGGAACUGAGACACGGUCCAGACUCCUACGGGAGGCAGCAGUGGGGAAUAUUGGACAAUGGGCGCAAGCCUGAUCCAGCCAUACCGCGUGGGUGAAGAAGGCCUUCGGGUUGUAAAGCCCUUUUGUUGGGAAAGAAAAGCAGCAGGUUAAUACCCCGCUGUUCUGACAGUACCCAAAGAAUAAGCACCGGCUAACUUCGUG
rnacentral:rRNA from 1 species